CACGCCAAGAUCUGUUUUCGAUUUUAGUGUUGUGUUAAGGCUACAAAUGAAGACUCUGGAACCUUAAACCGCAUCUUUCUAGAAUGAGCAUCUGAUGGUCUGGGGCCAUGCUGCCCGGAAUUAAGAGGACAGUUGGUGCUCAGAGCUGGGAGAGACAGGGUUAGAACGGUUCCCAAUCAACCCUAAGGGAAUCUGCCAGACUGACUGGCCGGCGAAGAAAAUACUGAACAAAUACUGUUUGUAAUUCCGGAUGACAGCAGCUGUAGGAAGGGGCGCGUCCAGGCCACCGAGCUGGAGGAGGACGACUCAUCACUUAGCUCCGGAGGAGAUCUGAAGAACUUGGGGUACCCUGUGAGAUGCUGCACGUUUGGACUUUCUUUUAAUGUCAUGUUACCGGAGGGGUCACAGCAAGGGCACUUGCUGCCCCCCCAGCCCCCUGCUCAGAAAUUGCACCGUGCUGGGGUCCGUGCUCCCCGGGGGCCCUCCGUCGGGGCUCACAGGGCACCUCGGCACUCGCCGUACAGACUCCCUGGGGGUCCCCGCGGGGGCACCCACCUGCUGCACGUGUCCUUCAGGCCAGGCGUGGAUCUGGGGCUGCGGGCCGGAGGCGGCAGCAUCCCGGGGCCUGGGGACUUCGUUGACGGGUGUCCUGGGACAAUACCAGAGCACGUGGCCUAGACCACCUGUUUGGAACACUGCUCGCUCCCUCCCGGAGGCCAGCGUGCGGUGCCUGGGCCAGGUCUUCUGUGGCCGCGCCUCCUUCCUCAGCGCCUGGCCGGCUGGGCUUUGCAGCCUCCGGCUUCGUAACUGUUGUCCACUCUGCAGGCUGCGAGAGACCGCCGCCGACAGAGUGGGCUGUGUGUCCACGCGGGCACUGUGCACUUUGAAGUUCCCGUUUGAGGGGCGGGGGGAGCAUGGUGUCACCUGUGGAGCGGGACAAGGGCUGUCCCGUCUCCCCUGUCCCCUUCAUCGGAAGUGCUCUUCCAGCCACGACGCUGAUCCCAUACAUUGGAAACCUACCCCCUUUCAAACUUAGUGACACGUCUCCCUGGGAAACCAGGGCACUCAGGAAGGAUGCACGUGGGGCCAGGGGUAGGAUUUAAGCUUCCAUUUGGUGGAAACGGGGCCCCGCCUGUGAGCCCGCCAGCCCCCUUCUCUGAAGGCCAGCUUGCCUUUGUGGGCUGUGAGGAACCAUGCAGCCUCCUUACGCCGCGUCGUAAGAAACCGUCAUGUUUCAGAGGGGACGCUGCCUGGAAGUGUGUAAUUUCUGAUUUUUGAACUUGUAUCAAAACAAAUGAGGCUGGUUGUCCUCUGCUCAUUUGUCUGGCCGUCUGGAUUUUAAUGUUCUCGAGGAGGAGAAGCAGUGGGGGCGGCCGGCCCUCCUCCUCUUCAGUGUUUUCCUCUCCCGGCGAGGGGGCCUCAGGCCCGCACCCAUUCCACAUCCCUCCCGUCGAGUUAGAGGUUCCUGGCCAGAGGACAGGCAGGAAGUGACGUGAGCUGGCUCUGUGGGUCUGAGGGGGAGGUUGUGGGAGGGCUGGGCCGUCCGCCCUCGGCUCUCCGCAGGGUCUCUGUGUUUACAGUACUGGAGGGAGUCAGGUAGUUCUUUCCCGGAAUUCGAAGAGAUUCCGGUCAUGUUUGGUCAGAAAGCCGCCAGGAAUAUCACGUAAUGAGAAAUUCAGUGUUUACAGUAACCUAUAAAUAUUGCUAAAAAUAGUUUAUAGACAGCUCUUUCAUUGUCAUAACUUCAUAGAAUAUUCUUGGGAAGCAGGUGCAUACAUGAGGCUAUACUCUGGUAUGUUUGCACUUGCUGUUGAGCAGUGCACUGCAUGACCAUCAGACUUCUGAAAAUUGCCAAGUGCUACUUGAUAACACCGAUCGAAGCAGAGGCUCCAGCCAGCCGCGGGCGUCUCGUCAGGGCUCCCAAGCGUCAUUCAGGUGGCUGGGGCGGUCAUGAAGACGUGUCAUUUUGCAUUUGUCCCAUUAUUAUGGGGGGAACUGACGUGGCUUCUACGGUGUUGUGGACGUAACCAUGGGGACCACCAGCCCGGGAGGACUGCCUGACAAGCCCUGGGGGUGGGCGGUGUGGGCAGGGAACUCCUUAGGGGAUCCAGGGCCGUCUGUCACUGAGACAAAAGUCCGGCUGCAGCCCUGUGCCUCGCCUGUGGUGGGCAGGCACCGUGCACCGGCACCCUGCACCCUUCGUGCUCCAGUGGGCCUGCAGCUUCUGGGGAGGGGCUCGUUAGCACAUUCGGUCUUGGGGGCUGUGGUUUGCUCAUUGUUGGUGUGAUUUGCCUAGAAAAUCACCCGGAAUUGUUUGUAUUUAAUUACGAUAGUAAAAUGGUUUAUUUCCUUUUGCAAAGUC